AGCUCCACCAGGGCCUGCUAUCCACAGGAACCGUUCACAACAGCCAUUACCUUCAGGGCAACAAAGCAUCAAAUGAGAGCAAGACAAGGCCGGAACAGAGUCCUGGUCGCCAGAUGGGCGCGGAUGAAAACACAGUGAGAUGAGUCAGAAAAUAGCCAAGGAGGGCCCCAGGCUCUCCAAGAACCAGAAGUUCUCGGAGCACUUCAGCAUCCACUGUUGCCCACCCUUCACCUUCCUCAACUCCAAGCGUGAGAUCGUGGACCGCAAGUACAGCAUCUGCAAGAGCGGCUGCUUUUAUCAGAAGAAGGAGGAGGACUGGAUCUGCUGCGCCUGCCAGAAGACCAGCCGCCGUGCCACGUCCCCUCAGAGGCCCAAGCACCAGCCAGCUGCGUCCCCAGUGGUGGUCAGAGCGCCGCCAGCCAAGCCAAAGUCCCCUCUGAUGCCAGCCAAGCCAAGGUCCCCUCCGAGGCCAGCCAAGCCAAGGUCCCCUUCAAGGACUGAGCGCCAGCCGCGUCCCCGCCCAGAGAUCCGACCACCACCAGCCAAGCAGAAGCCCCCUCAGAAGUCUAAGCAGCCAGCACGCAGCAGCCCCCUCAGAGGGCCAGGCACCAGCCGCGGGGGGUCUCCCACCAGAGCUUCUAGGUUCUGGUAACACCAUCUCUUGCCUUUUGUUCCCCCUAGCCUAAGAUUGAGAAGGAGGAGCAGGUCAACCCCAAGGAAAAAGUGACCGAGAAGGGACUUCAUGUGAAUGGACAGCCUCUGCCUGUGGACUUCCUGCUUCCCCGCAACCCAUCUGCCCUCAGACGAAUUAUCUGGCCUGGAGUAUGACGCAGGAGUGGACACCUGCUGAUGUAACAACCACAGAUGCCCUCGGUCCCCAUGGUGUGGGACCCUUAGGGCAGCCUGCCUGGAGCACCUGGACCAUGCCAUUCUACUAUCUCCCUCUAUAACCGCCAGCGAGACAUCUCUGUCAAUCUUCUCCACCCUCCACGAACUCAGGUUCUUCAGUCUGAAGAUCCUUGUGUCUUCUGGGAUGUGCAAAACAAAGUCAUGGUGCACGACCAUCCAAACGGCAGAUAUAAAAACGACGUGAGAAAAAUCCUAGCAGCUACUGAUGGGGAUUUAUACAUUGUCACGACACCACUGAGCUGUCCUCUGGGGACAGUAUCAAGGCAAAGUAUCUUAAAACCUCUAAUCAAGCGACUGUAAUUUUAGGCAUCCAUCCUGGAGAAAACUUAUGCCCUUUUAGAGAAAGGAGAAAUGCCAAAAUUUGUUUAAAAGAUAGUGGUUUGUAGUUAAGAAAGGUAGAAUAAAAUUAGCCAAAAUGUCUGUCCACGGGGAAUGAGAGAAUCAAUUUUAGGAUAUUCACAAAUAAAGUCCUAACAGCAGUUAAAAGCCAAUUUGUCAGAUAGACCCAUGUCAAGCAGGUAAAUCUAGAAGGCAAACCGAGGGCUAUAAAAAUCAAGUAUGGGGUAGUAAAUCCAGUAUAACGUCCUAUGCAUAAAUAUUGACAGCCCACAAUCCUAUAUUGGUUAUUGCUUAAUAAGGAGAAGCCACAAGAUCUCAUACUUUUCUAUAAUGCAAUAGAAUUUUAAAAUGACAGCAGAACACAAAGACACUAGAAAUUGUCCUGUCAGAAAUAAAAGUAUAAGAAAUAAUUCCUGUCUUGAGGAAAUAAUCCAGACUAAAGCUACACAGUCAUGGCUUAACGAUACUAGCCGGUCAUACAUUUGUUUGGAGAGGGUCAGUGAGAAAUGUGAAUAGCCUGGGAUGUUUCCAAAGUUGUAUAAAUCUUAAACACCAAAAAUAUUUGUUUUGAAUCAGUUUUGGGUCUGGGCUAUAGAGUCUGGCUUGUGAUGGUUCCUGACACGGGAGAAAAGGGAAUAAAUUGAAAUACGGCUCUUGAAUUUUCUUUAAGGAACAGUAGGUAGGACAGGACAACAGAAUGUUGGGGAAUGUGGAGGGAUGUAAAAUAGACAGUAUUAUGGUAGGGGGAAACUCGGUGUAGGGACGAUAAGAACACCACAAUGGCCUUGUGUGGGAGUCGAGGUGGCCAAGCACAGGCAGUUGCUCAAAGACCUCAGAGGCCACCAUUGCGUCCUCACAGCCAGACCCAGCAAAGUUCAGAUCAAGUGCACGGGUCGGGGCCAUGUCAGUGGAAACUGUCCAAGGUGUGCAGCAGGAGUGAGGAAGACAGCCAGGAGGAAGCAAGAGAUGGCUCAGAGUGUUGCACGACCACAAGAAGAAGCAGGCCAAAUAUCGUCCCAAGGCAGCCGAGUGGUCCUGGCUUCCUCUCCCGAGGACACUGUGGCCCUGUGGAAGUACCAAGACAGAGGCAAGGGAAUUUAACUGCACAAAAACUACAUGCAGAAACUCAGGUGCUAAAUGAAUAUAUAUGUGACAACCUUUCUGAGGACCAGGUUCCAGUGAGCGGCCCGGAGCUUCCUUCUUGACAGUAACUGAGCUGAGAAGAAUAGGAACGGGAUAGGAGCACACAGUAGCCCACUGGUGAGACAAACUCCCAGGCUAGCCUCAUCCAACCUAUUAAGGAAACUAUGCUUUUCCAUCUUCUUUUCAUUUUGGCAAAGCCAAGCCCAUCCUGAGCGCUUACUUGUCUCUGCCCUCUACGCCAUCCCCGAGUCACAGAGCAUGCGCAUUAACCCAGAGCGCGCUAACCCACGCGCAGUGUUGGACAUUAGCUCGUUAAUGUGAAUAACCAGAAACUACUAAAUUUUGUUUGUUGUAGAAAUAAAACCUGGGGAUGGAUCAAACCUAUCUGGAGAUUGCUUGGAGCUGGUGGAUCACUAUUAUAAUGUGCCUUGGGAUACGUCACUGAAUCGCGGUGUAAUCAUUACAUACUGUUUUUCUACUUAAUAUUGGUUCUUAGGAACAUUCCCCAGUAAAUACUGGAGAAAUUUCAUAAAACUCCAAAA